AAGAUUUAAACUGAAGAGUUUGAUCAUGGCUCAGAUUGAACGCUGGCGGCAGGCCUAACACAUGCAAGUCGAGCGAGAAAGCA
rnacentral:rRNA from 1 species